GGGCACGACACCGGAGAGGGAGCCUGAGAAACGGCUACCACAUNNAANGAUGGCAGCAGGCGCGCAAAUUACCCAAUCCCGACACGGGGAGGUAGUGACAAUAAAUAACAAUACGGGGUUCUUUAGGAUCUCGUAAUUGGAAUGAGUACAAUUUAAAUCUCUUAACGAGGAACAAUUGGAGGGCAAGUCUGGUGCCAGCAGCCGCGGUAAUUCCAGCUCCAAUAGCGUAUAUUAAAGUUGUUGCAGUUAAAAAGCUCGUAGUUGAAUUUCGGGGUUAGUAGGUUGGUCAUGCCUCUGGUAUGUACUGGUCUCACUGAUUCCUCCUUCCUUAUGAACCGUAAUGCCAUUAAUUUGGUGUUGCGGGGAAUUUGGACUGUUACUUUGAAAAAAUUAGAGUGUUUAAAGCAAGCUAACGCUUGAAUACAUUAGCAUGGAAUAAUGAAAUAGGACGUUCGAUCUUAUUUUGUUGGUUUCUAGGAUUGACGUAAUGAUUAAUAGGGAUAGUUGGGGGCAUUAGUAUUCAAUUGUCAGAGGUGAAAUUCUUGGAUUUAUUGAAGACUAACUACUGCGAAAGCAUUUGCCAAGGAUGUUUUCAUUAAUCAAGAACGAAAGUUAGGGGAUCGAAGACGAUCAGAUACCGUCGUAGUCUUAACCAUAAACUAUGCCGACUAGGGAUCGGAUGAUGUUAAUUUUUUAAUGACUCAUUCGGCGCCUUACGGGAAACCAAAGUGUUUGGG
rnacentral:rRNA from 1 species